UACGGGGGGAGCAAGCGUUGUUCGGAUUUACUGGGCGUAAAGGGCGCGUAGGCGGUCGUGACAAGUCACUUGUGAAAUCUCCGGGCUUAACUCGAAGCACGGUCAAGUGAUACUGUCGGACUAGAGUACAGAAGGGGGCAACUGGAAUUCUCGGUGUAGCGGUGAAAUGCGUAGAUAUCGAGAGGAACACCUGCGGCGAAGGCGGGUUGCUGGGCUGAUACUGACGGUGAGGCGCGAAAGCCAGGGGAGCGAACGGG
rnacentral:rRNA from 1 species